UCAGAGAUAGAACAAAUCCAAAACAGAAUUGAAAUUAAACAUUUUUGACAUUUUUGAAUUUUAUACUAAGCAUAGUUUAAAAAGUAUACUAUUAAUGAUUAUGAUCUAUACUAUAAUGGAAUAGCUUGAACUUAAUUACCAAUUGCAUUCUUCGCGUUGCAAAAAACGGCACCGCUCUUUUCGAUGCUGUGUCUUCUGUUUGAUUGGAGAGAACUACAAAAAAACAAAUCAUAAUUUGUUUCACAGUGUUGCCCAUCAUAGAAAUCAUGUUUCGAUCUCUUUUCCACCGGAUUCCGGGAAGCUAUCGGCAUGUGAAACGUUGGUCGGAAUCGGCACACGACUUUUCAACAUCAGAUGUAGAUUCUAUAAACCGGCGGAAAUAUUUUAUCACCACACCGGCUGGGGGACGUGGAAUUUGUAGCCCUAUCAACGGAAAAAUUGUCGAGUGGCCUUUAAAGUUACCUUCAAACCUGCCAGCUAUAACGCGGACCAUUUUAUUUGAAAAAUCGACCCUAAUCGAGAUUUAUAUCAAAUUGUAGCGGCAUGCAAAUUUGGUCUUGAUCGUCCCACUCAAACCGAAUGAAUCUGAAACCACAAUAAAAUGACCAAAACAACACAUAGGGAAACACAGUCGAAAACCAAAUCGGGACAAUGCAUCCGGUUCCACUUCAGUGAGGCCCUGGCUCUGUAGCUCUGCGUUUCCAGUGUCGCAAGCAUCAGCGACCACCACCACCCCGAAAAACGAAAGAACGCCUAAAAUGUGCCAAGGUCCGCGCUGGUCAAUUUUUUGGUGGUACCAUUAUUUACAUAGUUCCAUUUUUCCUCAAUCUGCAUGACUAAAC